GUGAGCGUAGUUCAAUCGGUUAGAGCACUGGACUGUGGCUCCAGAAGUUGGGGGUUCGAGUCCCCUCGCUCACCCCA
rnacentral:tRNA from 2 species